AGUGAACGCUGGCGGUAGGCCUAACACAUGCAAGUCGAACGGCAGCACAGUAAGAGCUUGCUCUUACGGGUGGCGAGUGGCGGACGGGUGAGGAAUACAUCGGACUCUACUUUUUCGUGGGGGAUAACGUAGGGAAACUUACGCUAAUACCGCAUACGACCUACGGGUGAAAGCAGGGGAUCUUCGGACCUUGCGCGAUUGAAUGAGCCGAUGUCGGAUUAGCUAGUUGGCGGGGUAACGGCCCACCAAGGCGACGAUCCGUAGCUGGUCUGAGAGGAUGAUCAGCCACACUGGAGCUGGAACACGGUCCAGACUCCUACGGGAGGCAGCAGUGGGGAAUAUUGGACAAUGGGCGCAAGCCUGAUCCAGCCAUACCGCGUGGGUGAAGAAGGCCUUCGGGUUGUAAAGCCCUUUUGUUGGGAAAGAAAAGCAGCAGGUUAAUACCCCGCUGUUCUGACGGUACCCAAAGAAUAAGCACCGGCUAACUUCGUG
rnacentral:rRNA from 1 species